UACGUAGGGUGCGAGCGUUAAUCGGAAUUACUGGGCGUAAAGCGUGCGCAGGCGGUUUUGUAAGCCAGAUGUGAAAGCCCCGGGCUUAACCUGGGAAUGGCAUUUGGGACUGCAAGGCUUGAGUGCGGCAGAGGAGACUGGAAUUCCAGGUGUAGCGGUGAAAUGCGUAGAUAUCUGGAGGAACACCGGUGGCGAAGGCGGCAUCCUGGACCGGUAUUGACGCUGAGGCGCGAAAGCUAGGGGAGCAAACGGG
rnacentral:rRNA from 1 species